CGGGCUGACGCGUGGGCCAAACGCGAUCGUGUCACCCGCCCGGAGUGACCUCCUGGGCCGAGAGCGGCCCCCGUUCCCCCCGCACGGCCCGGGAGGCGCCGCUCCGUCCUAACAUGGCGGGUGCUGCCGCUUCAUAGCCCGCCCCGGCUGUCAGCGCUCCCGCGGGCACGGACGAGCCGGGGAGGUCACGGGUGCUGGCGUGGUGCAGAAUUACCUGUGCUUAAGAUGUAGGCGCAGAGUUGUUCCUGCCCAAAGCCCAGCAGCCUCCAGUGCCUGGACCUCCAGCGAGGGGUGAGCUGUUCCUCCAGAGCAGCUCCUUCCUGCCCCGGCUCGCAGCCAAGGCUCUGCUCCAGCCCUCACAGCACAUCAAACCCCACCACACGCCUGCUUUUCAUCUUGCUUACUUCACUACAUCAUAGCUAAAACGUACAAGUAGUUUUUUUGUUUGAUCUUUGUUUUGUUCCAGAAAACACUGUAUUUGUUUGAUAGGAAGAGGUUAGCCUUAUUUGAUCAGAACUUAUGGAUGGAUGCCUGAGCCAGGAUCCUCUCUGCUAUAGCACUGCCUCAGGCACACCAGAGAAAAGUCUCAGCACCUUACACUAAGAAGAUGUAUUUAUUCUGUCCCUUUCCUGUUUCACCAGAGGAACUUACUUAAAUUUCCCCUCCACCAGCCUUCUUUUACUAAUUUGAACCAUUAUUUUUUUUCUUAGCUGAUUCAAUUUUAUGACCAUUUUCAUAUUGCCUAUUGUUACAGAAGCAUACAGGAUAGCAUUAAACCCAUCAGUGUUCAGGUCAGCCUAAGAGUCGACUAAACAACUUGAAUAAUAACUGCUACAGGCAGCUUCUGCUGGUUUUUGGCUGUUCUUCAAGAUACAUACUUUAAUUUUCUAUUACUGAUUCUACUUUGCCUCACAGAGAUUAAAAUUGUGGUGAUGACAUGAUGGUAUUUACAUAACUGUUUCCCCUCCUAGUGUUCUCCAGAACUGAUAAAGACUCAAGAGUGGACUUGGAUUUCUGAAAUCCCUGUUACUGUUUCCUUCACCAAAGGUUCUUAAAGAGAUUUGGUUGCCAUGGAAGAUUAACAUAAAUCCUUAUUAAAAAUAGAAUAAGGAAUAAAAGGUUUUUACAGUAAAAUCCCCCAGAGUUCUGUGCUAGGAUUUGUACUGUUUAGCAUGCUCAUUUUAGUUUUUUUAGUAUUUUUGCUCUUUUUAAAUUUCUAGUAUCUUUUGUUUAUUUUCUCUCUCGUUACUUUGUAGCUUCCAUAACUUUAUGUCCCUUCCUGAGGGUCGAUCCUCGCUCAGCAUCCAGAAAUGGUUAUUCCUGAGGGAUGGCAGUGCUGGAGGGGUGCUCCAGACUGGGCAGGGCAAGGAGUGAGGCUGAGAUCUGUGACAGACAAGGCAGGCUGUGCAGGUCGGGUAAUCUGGGAUUAUGUCAGCAGGGAUCCGCUCACCCCUGUGCUCCCCAGCUGCUGCAUCCAGCUCAGGCGGGCUCCAGGUGGCUGAGAGCUCACCCAGACACAGCAGUGUCGGCACUGCCAGGGCUUGGCUGUGCCUGCAGAGAAAUAAAAUCAGCUCCACACAGAAAUCUGCACAGGUUUUACACCCUGUGAGUCACAGCUAAGCGGGGGCACGUCGGAAGCUCCCCAGCCCUGGGCAGCUGUGCCUGGAGCUCAGCCAUGGGGCAGAAGGGGAACAAAGGGAUCUCUGUGCCUUAUGUGGGCUAAGGUGGGUUGGGUUUAUUGUGUAAGCCUGGGUGGAGAUUUCUUCACGAGCUGCAGUUUAUAUGAAUGUCUGUCAGUACAUUCUGGGUUUGUGCCAAUCAAGGAUUAUGACCUAUAUUAACAUCCCAGAAACAGGGGAGGCCAGCCCGGCUGCAGCUCAGUCUCCUGAUGGCUGAUAUCCACCCUUACUAUGAUUUAAAGUCAGGUUAAAUUACUUCUCUCCACAGGAACUUAUUUAAAAUGUGCUCACUCCUCUUGACAGUGCAUCCCUUGCCAUCUUGACAAAGCACCUGACAUUCUCUCAGUGAGAGCUGUCUCAACUUUCUUAACAGAACAGAAGAAUGGCAUUUGCUACAAUAACUUAAUUGCUAUUCAUAAAAAUAAAAUCCAGUUCCUAGGGUGUUUUUUUUCAUUUUCAAUGGGACUUACAUUGUUAUAUCCAGGAAUAUGAACAAUACUCAGUUCAGACAUAACUUGGUAGCUGGCUGACAAAAGCCCCAUAUCCAGACACUUGUAUUUUCCCAUACUUUGUUUGGCACAUACGCAUCUCACUGGUAGUUUUAAAAUACUGUUGGAAAAUCCUAAUCUAAAAGGGAUUUUCCAAGCACCUGGGAACAAAGAUGUCAGAAUGUAAAAACACUGAACACUGACCCUUGGUGGUUAGUCAUGUACUUGCACAUUUCUUGCCUUUAGAAAAGAAGAUAAAAAAAUCUACCUCCACUUUCCAAUCAAAUUGAGUAGCUCGGUUGAUUUGAUUUCUGGAAUUCUGCACUUCCAGAGCAUCUUGCAAAAGCUUUAGGAGCAUCCAGUGACCCCCAUGGUGUUCUGUAGUACUGAGGCACAUCUGAAGUUUCAGAUGCAGAAACCAGAAUCAACCCAAUUCCCAGUAUGUGUGCAAUGAAUUAUUGCACAAUACAAACUGCUCUGAUACCUGCUGGGCCACACAUCCCUUCACACCCUGUCACAAUCCCUGGCACCUUCCUGCAAGUUUUGGAUCAAGCUGUGUUGGAAGUUACUCUGCUUUCAUGAAGAAAGCAGUGACUAUCUGUUUAUUCUCCAAACAUGGCCAAUUUAGAAGUUAUUAGAUGGAGUUUAUUCAGCACAAGUGAACAUCUAAAAAUCAUAAAAUAAGAAUUAAAAAGCCACUGCUCUGGA